AGAGUUUGAUCCUGGCUCAGGAUGAACGCUGGCGGCAGGCUUAAUACAUGCAAGUCGAGGGGUAACAGGGGUAGCAAUACCUGCUGACGACCGGUAAACGGGUGCGGAACGCGUACGCAACCUCCCCAUAACUGGUGAAUAGCCUUCCGAAAGGAAGAUUAAUACACCGUAACUUAAUGAAGUGGCAUCACUUUAUUAAUAUACCUCCGGCGGUUUUGGAUGGGCGUGCGGCUGAUUAGGCAGUUGGCGGGGUAACGGCCCACCAACCUGCGAUCAGUAACUGGUGUGAGAGCACGACCAGUCACACGGGCACUGAGACACGGGCCCGACUCCUACGGGAGGCAGCAGUAAGGAAUAUUGGUCAAUGGACGAAAGUCUGAACCAGCCAUGCCGCGUGAAGGAUGAAGGCCCUCUGGGUUGUAAACUUCUUUUAUAGGGGACGAAAAAAGGGAAUUCUUUCCCACUUGACGGUACUCUAGGAAUAAGCACCGGCUAACUCCGUGCCAGCAGCCGCGGUAAUACGGAGGGUGCAAGCGUUAUCCGGAUUCACUGGGUUUAAAGGGUGCGUAGGUGGGUCUGUAAGUCAGUGGUGAAAUCUCCGGGCUUAACCCGGAAACUGCCAUUGAUACUAUAGGUCUUGAAUUAUCUGGAGGUGAGCGGAAUAUGUCAUGUAGCGGUGAAAUGCUUAGAUAUGACAUAGAACACCGAUUGCGAAGGCAGCUCACUACGGAUUGAUUGACACUGAGGCACGAAAGCGUGGGGAUCAAACAGGAUUAGAUACCCUGGUAGUCCACGCCCUAAACGAUGGAUACUCGACAUUUGUGAUAUACAAUAAGUGUCUGAGCGAAAGCAUUAAGUAUCCCACCUGGGAAGUACGACCGCAAGGUUGAAACUCAAAGGAAUUGACGG
rnacentral:rRNA from 1 species